rnacentral:lncRNA from 1 species
UUGGAGAUUUAGUGCCAUUCAGCAACAAACUGUACUCAGGAAACUUAGAGAAAAGGUUAGGAAUAACUUCAGGCUUAUGUAUACUGAUCCAGCAUGAACCUGAGAAAAAGGGUGACAGAUAUGAAGCAAUUUACAGCUUUUACUUUGGAGACUAUGGUCACAUAACAGUUCAAGGACCUUAUUUAACAUACCAAGACACAUAUCUAGCUGUAACAGGAGGAUCUGGAAUCUUUGAAGGUGUUUUUGGACAAGUUAAACUUCAACAACUUGUGUUCCCUUUUAAGCUAUUUUACACUUUUUACUUGAAAGGUAUUGCUGAUUUGCCUCAGGAUUU